rnacentral:rRNA from 1 species
UUCGUGAAAUCUCACGGCUUAACUGUGAGCGUGCGGGCGAUACGGGCAGACUUGAGUACUGCAGGGGAGACUGGAAUUCCUGGUGUAGCGGUGGAAUGCGCAGAUAUCAGGAGGAACACCGGUGGCGAAGGCGGGUCUCUGGGUAGUAACUGACGCUGAGGAGCGAAAGCGUGGGGAGCGAACAGGAUUAGAUACCCUGGUAGUCCACGCCGUAAACGGUGGGUACUAGGUGUGGGUUUCCUUCCUUGGGAUCCGUGCCGUAGCUAACGCAUUAAGUACCCCGCCUGGGGAGUACGGCCGCAAGGCUAAAACUCAAAGAAAUUGACGGGGGCCCGCACAAGCGGCGGAGCAUGUGGAUUAAUUCGAUGCAACGCGAAGAACCUUACCUGGGUUUGACAUGCACAGGACGCCGGCAGAGAUGUCGGUUCCCUUGUGGCCUGUGUGCAGGUGGUGCAUGGCUGUCGUCAGCUCGUGUCGUGAGAUGUUGGGUUAAGUCCCGCAACGAGCGCAACCCUUGUCUCAUGUUGCCAGCGGGUAAUGCCGGGGACUCGUGAGAGACUGCCGGGGUCAACUCGGAGGAAGGUGGGGAUGACGUCAAGUCAUCAUGCCCCUUAUGUCCAGGGCUUCACACAUGCUACAAUGGCCGGUACAAAGGGCUGCGAUGCCGCGAGGUUAAGCGAAUCCUUUUAAGGCCGGUCUCAGUUCGGAUCGGGGUCUG